rnacentral:snRNA from 1 species
AAAAAGGGCGCGUCACAAGUUUGAUGGACGACUCUUUCUUUCUUUCUUUUUUUCUUUUAUUUCUUUUCUUUUUCUUUUCUCUCUCUCUCUUUCUGUCAAUCAGAAAGCAGAGGGGGGGGGGGAGGAGGAGAAAGGAGACAGAGGGAAGAGGGGAGGGAGAUGGAGUUUGAAGUCUUAUGAUGUGACAAGAGUUUUUUAUGAUGACUCUUGCGGUAUGGCAAUCAAGACAUAUCGAGCGCAUAAUUUUUAGCACCGGGUGGCUCAUCUUGGCUUCGCUCUAAAGCCGGAGCUGCCCACUA